rnacentral:rRNA from 1 species
GACGAACCGAGCGAACGUUAUUCGGAAUCACUGGGCUUAAAGGGCGCGUAGGCGGGUCGUACAGUCUAUGGUGAAAUCCUCCAGCUUAACUGGAGAACUGCCGUGGAUACUCACGACCUCGAGGAAUGUAGGGGCAUCUGGAACUGGUGGUGGAGCGGUGAAAUGCGUUGAUAUCAUCAGGAACUCCGGUGGCGAAGGCGAGGUGCUGGACAUUUUCUGACGCUGAGGCGCGAAAGCCAGGGGAGCAAACGGG